rnacentral:rRNA from 1 species
GAUGAACGCUGGCGGCGUGCCUAAUACAUGCAAGUCGAGCGAACAGACGAGGAGCUUGCUCCUCUGACGUUAGCGGCGGACGGGUGAGUGACACGUGGAUAACCUACCUAUAAGACUGGGAUAACUUCGGGAAACCGGAGCUAAUACCGGAUAAUAUAUUGAACCGCAUGGUUCAAUAGUGAAAGACGGUUUUGCUGUCACUUAUAGAUGGAUCCGCGCCGCAUUAGCUAGUUGGUAAGGUAACGGCUUACCAAGGCAACGAUGCGUAGCCGACCUGAGAGGGUGAUCGGCCACACUGGAACUGAGACACGGUCCAGACUCCUACGGGAGGCAGCAGUAGGGAAUCUUCCGCAAUGGGCGAAAGCCUGACGGAGCAAUGCCGCGUGAGUGAUGAAGGUCUUCGGAUCGUAAAACUCUGUUAUUAGGGAAGAACAAAUGUGUAAGUAACUAUGCACGUCUUGACGGUACCUAAUCAGAAAGCCACGGCUAACUACGUG